rnacentral:rRNA from 1 species
CCUANGGGUGGCAGCAGUGGGGAAUUUUGCGCAAUGGGCGAAAGCCUGACGCAGCAACGCCGCGUGCGGGAUGAAGGCUCUCGGGUCGUAAACCGCUUUCAGCAGGGAUGAAAUUGACAGUACCUGCAGAAGAAGCCCCGGCUAAAUACGUGCCAGCAGCCGCGGUAAUACGUAUGGGGCAAGCGUUAUCCGGAUUCAUUGGGCGUAAAGAGCGCGUAGGCGGAUUGUUAAGUCAGAUGUGAAAACUGGGGGCUCAACCCGCAGCCUGCAUCUGAAACUGGCAGUCUUGAGUCUGGUAGAGGAGUGUGGAAUUCCCAGUGUAGCGGUGAAAUGCGCAGAUAUUGGGAGGAACACCAGUGGCGAAGGCGGCACUCUGGGCCACGACUGACGCUGAGGCGCGAAAGCUAGGGGAGCAAACAGGAUUAGAUACCACANUANUC